rnacentral:lncRNA from 1 species
UCAUUUCCCUAUUACUUUAAAAGAUUCUACAUAAUCAAAUGAUAAAUCCAGAACCAAUUUCUGACCCAAAAGAAGCAAAGAAAACACAAAAAAGAAUAUUUUUUUAGUAAUUACACAUAAAAUACUAACCUUUCCUUCAAUUUAAUAGAAAACUUAAGAUAAUAACACAUUCGGAAAAAAAAUCUAAACCGCAAUUGAGGUAAGAAAAGGAAUUUCCCUAUUUUUUUCUUUAAAAUUGGAAUAACAAAUAGGAUGCUCGUGAUUUUCAUACAUGCUCGGACAGCCAAGAUCUUAUCCGUACAAACAACGCCCCAUAAUAGAUUAACCGACAUAUAUAGAACUCAAUACCAUAACAAUUUCAUCUUCAUCCUUUCUAUUUUUAUUUUUGGCCAUAUUGAAAUAAUGUUGGAGCUUCAGCAGCACAAAGACAUUAGAAUCAGCACAAGACAACCACGAAUUUAAGUUUUGAUAGCUUAUAGAAAUUCAAGAAAUAAAGAAAUUCAGCUUUGAAAUCAGUUCUUCAAAUCUCCUUUGAAAAUUCUAAAUUUUCUUCCCAUUUUAGCUUUUGAUUUUUGGAUUUGGUUUUUCUUUUUGUUGGUAUUUUACAGCUGCUAGUACAUGGCCUUGGUGUGUGUGAUUUUGAGAAAGUAAGAAGAAGAAGAGAGCUAGAGAAGAAGAUAUUUUGUGUCUAGGCCUAUGCUCUAAAAAUUUGAUAUUAGGUCUUAGUUCGUUUAUGAGAUAAGGGUAAAGGGGAUGGGUUGGGCCUGGACGGAUUGUAUUAAGGGAUUUUUACAUAUACAUCAUAUAUAGCAAACCUUAUAACCAUCCAUGUUUAAGGUUUGUGUUUAUUACAUUUAAGUAUACCACCUUUCAAUUUA